UUGGAAACCAGCGUUCAGUUGUUCUCAAUAUAAGUUUCACAUUCUCCUUCAAUGACGACUUCGACUAGUUCUCGUUGUUAAAUUCGGUUUUCAUUGUUGUUGUU